UACGGAGGGUGCAAGCGUUAAUCGGAAUUACUGGGCGUAAAGCGCGCGUAGGCGGUUUUGUAAGUCGGAUGUGAAAUCCCCGGGCUUAACCUGGGAACUGCAUUCGAUACUGCAUAACUAGAGUAUGGUAGAGGGAAGUGGAAUUCCGGGUGUAGCGGUGAAAUGCGUAGAUAUCCGGAGGAACACCAGUGGCGAAGGCGACUUCCUGGGCCAAUACUGACGCUGAGGUGCGAAAGCGUGGGGAGCAAACAGG
rnacentral:rRNA from 1 species